GGGGGCGAAAUGGAUUCGACCGGGCAAUUGAAGUGUGGGUCGCGUGUCGUGGUUGGUCGGAAAGCCACGUAAAAAUCCGUCCAAAAUUAAAUGCCAAAUAUGAUAAUAACUUGGUAAUGGUCGCCUAAGAAAAGGCUUCCCGCGUUUUCGGAUCCCUGACAGAUGGAGCCGAAAACCCGUAAUAAAUAUCUGAAUCGCGCUGGUUCACUGAAGGUACGGCCAGGGUUAAAAAUGUUCCUAUCUGGUACGGGUUUUAGCGCGUUGAUACGCGAAAAUUCGUAUGAGAUUUAAAAUAUCGGCUACACACGUAGAAGCUCACAGGGAGAUGUCGCGGGACGCGGGUUCGAUACCCGCCGCCUCCAAUU
rnacentral:tmRNA from 1 species